UACGGAGGGGGCAAGCGUUGUUCGGAAUUACUGGGCGUAAAGGGCUCGUAGGCGGCCAACUAAGUCAUACGUGAAAUCCCCAGGCUCAACCUGGGAACUGCGUCUGAUACUGGUUGGCUUGAAUCCGGGAGAGGGAUGCAGAAUUCCAGGUGUAGCGGUGAAAUGCGUAGAUAUCUGGAGGAAUACCGGUGGCGAAGGCGGCAUCCUGGACCGGCAUUGACGCUGAGGAGCGAAAGCCAGGGGAGCAAACGGG
rnacentral:rRNA from 1 species